CGCUGUGUUUGGUUCCUAACCGCGACGUUAGCGGUUCAUUUAAACUGUGAGUCAUUGUAGUACGUUAGUUACAUUUCAGUUUAUACUUCAUAAGGGUGUGUAAUGUAACGGCUAUAAAGCAGUUAGAAUGAAACUACGUGUAUGAAUCAAUUUUAUUUUAUUUAUUGUAUCAUCAUUUGUAUCACGUGGCGGCUGUGGAUCAGGUGGUAGAGCGGGUUGUCACUAAUCGUAGGGUCGGUGGUUCGAUUCCCGGCCCGCGUGACUCCACAUGCUGAAGUGUCCUUGGGUAAGACGCUGAACCCCGAGUUGCUCCCGAUGACAAGUUAGCGCCUUGCAUGGCAGCUCUGCCACCGUUAGCGUGAGUGUGAAUGUGUGAAUGAGAACCAGUGUAAAGCGCUUUGGAUAAAAACGCUAUAUGUGCGCCAUUUACCGUUUACUUAAUACUGACGCAGAUUCAGGUUGAGGCCUGUCGACCAAGAGAAGAAUCCUGUGUGAUGAAGUCAAAGCUUAAACUAAUUGACGUCUUGAACUCGCUUGACGAAUAGCAAAUGUUAAAUAUUUCCGUUAAUAAUGAACAACUAUAUGAAGCUUUUAUGUCAAUUUUCUUUUUCACAAACAUACUGUAACAUUAGUCAUUCUUCUGUAUUAUAAACAUGUCACCAAACACUACAUGUAGGUCUUAUUUCUCUGUGUUCUGCAGUUUCCAGUUCAGUGUGUGGACGACCAGGCUGGAUUAAAUGGCGUGGUUAUUUAUGAGAACCACAUUUUCCCCAUUUCAAAUCCCAGAUCUCAAAUCCCACGUCCAGUUCAGUGUGUGGACGACCCGCUGCCUGAAAACGCCGUGGAGGUUUACGGAAACGAGGAAUUCCCGCUGAGAAAUCAGCUACCGGUAAGUUUCCUUUUGUACUUCUAUUUUUUUUUCUUAUUUUCAUUCUAAUAAAUGAAGUUAGCAUUAAAAACACCAACAGUGUUUUAUUCCCAGAUAGAAAUUUUAAUGUAGGUCUUUUUCUCCAUGAAAAGACCUAGAUUUUAUUCAUUAAUAACACAGAACAAUUAAGGUAACAUUAAAGCGCACAAAUGUUGUUUUAACCUCACAGGAAUUUUAACGUAGGACUUUCUCCCCCCAUGUUUUGUAGCUUCCAGUUCAGUGUGUGGACGACCCGCUGCCUGAAAACGCCGUGGAGGUUUACGGAAACGAGGAAUUCCAGAAGAGAAAUCCGCUACCUGUAAGAUUCCUUUUGUAAUGGCUGCUCCUUUAAAACAAAAUGGGGCUGUUAAUUGAUUUGCGCUCCAGUCACGUGCCUCCUAUUGCAUUCUGGGUACUGACCAGUGACCUGUUUGGGAAAGGAAACUACUACUGCCACUGCUACUAGUACCACUAUUACUAUUGCUACUACUGCUGCUACUACUGCUAUUGCUACUACUGCUACUACUACUGCUACUACUGCUACCACUAUUACUACUGCUACUACUACUGCUACUACUACUACUGCUGCUACUACUACUGCUACUACUACUGCUACUACUGCUACUACUACUGCUACUACUACUACUACUACUACUACUGCUACUACUACUAUUACUGCUACUACUGCUACUGCUACUACUACUACUACUACUGCUACUACUGCUACUACUACUACUGCUAAAACUACUACUACUGCUGCUGCUGCUACUAUUACUACUACUACUACUACUACUGCUACUACUGCUACUACUACUGCUACUACUACUAUUACUGCUACUACUACUACUACUGCUGCUGCUGCUACUACUACUGCUACUACUACUACUACUGCUACUACUACUACUACUACUACUACUACUGCUGCUGCUGCUGCUGCUACUACUACUGCUACUACUACUGCUACUACUACUGCUACUACUACUACUACUACUACUACUACUACUGCUGCUGCUGCUGCUACUACUGCUGCUACUACUACUACUACUACUACUACUACUACUACUACUACUGCUACUACUACUACUGCUGCUGCUAAAACUACUACUACUGCUACUACUACUAUUACUACUACUACUCUACUACUGCUACUACUACUACUACUACUACUACUGCUGCUAAAACUACUACUACUGCUGCUACUACUAAUUCUGUUGAUUCAGGGGUCCAGGGUGUCAAAAACCCAACGAUACACAGAACAUCAGGAGCCCUUCAGCUCUGCUCUAACUGAAAAGGAAGCGCUUCCAGUUCAGUGUGUGGACGACCCGCUGCCUGAAAACGCCGUGGAGGUUUACGGAAACGAGGAAUUCCCGCUGAGAAAUCAACUAACAUGUGAAGAACCUACUCAGGACGAUGGUGACUGGUGUCCAAUUUAAAAACAUUAAAAGUCUGAAGACACUAAGAACAUAC
ensembl:lncRNA